rnacentral:lncRNA from 1 species
UUGUGCUUGGUUUGGCCUGUGAUGUCAUGUGGACAAUUUGAGAUUCAGAGAGGUCAGAGAAAAUCUGCUUAGUAUGGGGAAACUGCUUAAGUUUACACUUGUGGUGUCUCUUGGUGACCUGGACCUUCCAAGAUUCAGGGAAUUGUGAGAGAAUCUUUUGGUAACUGAGGAUCCACAUUUAGGUUUUGUAACAGUUCGAAUCAUUUUUUUUGGACGGAUAUCCUAUCCUUAAUUGGUUGGUUGUGUAGUUGUCUAACGGUUAUUUCUUAGCCCCCUGCAUGACUUGAAGUAUCAGUGCUUCCAUGGGAAUGCGACAAGGGGGAGACUGUUUAAAUUUAUGCUUGUGGUGUCUCUUAGUGACCUGGACCAUCCAAGAUUCAGGGAAUUGUGAUAAAAUCUAUUGGUAACUGAGGAUCCACAUUUAGGUUUUGUAACGGUUCAAAUCAAUUUUUUUUGGACGGAUGUCUUAUCUUUAAGGCUUACUAUUGGUUGGUUG